rnacentral:lncRNA from 1 species
AAGGGAACAACGUAUGUUGUUAUGCGGUUCGACCGAUAAAGAUCUUCGUAGAAUAUGUGGGAGCCAAUAUGAGCAUCCAGGUUCCGCUAUUGGUUAUUGACCGGAGAUGAGUCUCGGUCAUGUCUACAUAGUUCUCAAACCCGUAGGGUCCGCACGCUUAACGUUCGAUGACGAUCGGUAUUAUGAGUUUAUGUGUUUUGAUGUACCGAAGGUUGUUCGGAGUCCCGGAUGUGAUCACGGACAUGACGAGGAGUCUCGAAAUGGUCGAGACAUAGAUUGAUAUAUUGGAAGGCUAUGUUUGGACACCGGAAAGGUUUCGGAUGAGUUCGGGCAUUUUCCGGAGUACCGGGGGGUUACUGGAACCCCCGGGGGCUUAAUGGGCCUACAUGGGCUUUAGUGGAAGAGAGAGGAGGCGGCCAAGAGGAGGGGCGCCCCCUAGCCCAAUCCGAAUUGGGAGGGGGCCGGGCCCCCUUUCCUUCUUCUCUUCUUCCCCUUCCUUCCCCCUCCUAUUAGGACUAGGAAAGGGGGGAACCUACUCCUAGUAGGAGUAGGAUUCCCCCCCUUAGGGGCGCACCAUGAGGCCGGCUGGCCCCCUCCUCCCCUCCUUUAUAUACGGGGGAGGGGCACCCCAUAGACACACAAGUUGAUUGUUUAGCCGUGUGCGGUGCCGCCCUCCACAGAUUUCCACCUCGGUCAUAUCGUCGUAGUGCUUAGGCGAAGCCCUGCACCGGUAACUUCAUCAUCACCAUCACCACGCCGUCGUGCUGACGGAACUCUCCCUCGGCCUCAGCUGGAUCUAGAGUUCGAGGGACGUCACCGAGCUGAACGUGUGCACAUCGCGGAGGUGCCGUGCGUUCGGUACUUGAUCGGUUGGAUCGCGAAGACGUUCGACUACAUCAACCGCGUUACUUAACGCUUCCGGUCUACGAGGGUACGUAGACACACUCUCCCGCUCGUUGCUAUGCAUCACAUAGAUAGAUCUUGCGUGAUCGUAGGUAAAUUUUUUGAAAUACUGCGUUCCCCAACAGUGGCAUCAGAGCCAGAUCUAUGCGUAGAUGUUAUAUGCACGAGUAGAACACAAAGAGUUGUGGGCGAUAAUAGUCAUACUGCUUACCAGCAUGUCAUACUUUGAUUCGGCGGUAUUGUUGGAUGAAGCGGCCCAGACCGAUAUUACAUGUCCGCGUUCAUGAGACUGGUUCUACCGCCGUGCUUCGCACACAGGUGGCUAGUGGGUGUCUAUUUCUCCAACUUUAGUUGAAUCGAGUGUGACUACGCCCGGUCCUUGUUGAAGGUUAAAACAGCACACUUGACGAAAAAUCGUUGUGGUUUUUGAUGCGUAGAUAAGAACGGUUCUUACUAAGACCGUAGCAACCAUGUAAAACUUUUGUUUUGCAGGGCAUGUUGUGAUGUGACAUGGUCAAGACGUGAUGAUAUAUAAAUUGUUGUAUGAGAUGAUCAUGUUUUGUAACAGUUAUCGGCAACUAGCAGGAGCCAUAUGGUUGUCGUUUUAUUGUAUGAAAUGCAAUCGCCAUGUAAUUGCUUUACUUUAUCACUAAGCGGUACCGAUAGUCGUAGUAGCAAUAGUUGGCGAGACGACAACGAUGCUUCGAUGGAGAUCAAGGUGUCAAGCCGGUGAAGAUGGUGAUCAUGACAGUGCUUUGGAGAUGGAGAUCAAAGGCACCCGAUCAUCACGUGGUGUCUCGGCACGACGAACUGUCACAACGGUGCAUACUCAGGGAGAACACUUAUACCUUGAAAUUUAGUGAGAGACCAUCUUAUAAUGCUACCAUCGAACUAAGCAAAAUAAGAUGCAUAAAGGAUAAACAUCACAUGCAAUCAAAUAUAAGUGAUAUGAUAUGGCCAUCAAUACUCAGGUUAAACUUGACGAGCCUAGCAUAUGCAGAUAUGGCCUCGGAGCACUGAGACCGAAAGGUCGAGCGUGAAUCAUAUAGUAGAUAUGAUCAACAUAGUGAUGUUCACCAUUGAAAACUACUCCAUCUCAUGUGAUGAUCGGACAUGAUUUAAUUAAUAUGGAUCACGUGAUCACUUAGAUGAUUAGAGGGAUGUCUAUCUAAAUGGGAGUUCUUAAGUAAUAUGAUUAAUUGAACUUCAAUUUAUCAUGAACUUAGUACCUUGAUCGAUUGUAAGUGCAGCGGGAUAUUUCGUCCGAACCUGCGAGUGUCGUGUUCUCCUCAGGGACUAGGCAAGUCAAUGAUCGUGCUCAGAUAAAGCUAGGUAACACAAUUUAGAUUAUGAAUGCAAGAAAAUAAACCUAAUUAAACAAGGUAGUUCCCGAAGAUCGUCGCCAAAGAAAAUGCAAAAUAAGCAAAGGGGAGGUUCAGAUUGUCUAUAUUGUCUUUUUGGUGUUUUCCUAUUACUUGAGAAACUAAAAUGCUAACACAAAAGGAAACAACAGGACAUGAACACAUAUAUUUAUCUAACAAGCAUAUGACAGAGGGAAGAAACAAGAUAAUGGACAAGGAUGAAAAUGCUUCAUGUCACAACAUAUAUUACAGGUACAGAGCUAAUACAUAGACUGAAAAUUGAAUGAUCACACAACUGGCUACCACAGAGAGUAAUUUCAAUACAAAAUAAAAUCACAAAUAGUAACAUGAAUUUGUUACAGUGAGCUAGCUGACAUGGUUUACAUCACAAAACACACGUGUAUUUAUAUAGCACAUGUACUGGAGCUAACACAUGGACAACUGAAUAAAUUUCUGCAGUAAGGAACAAACACAUAAGGGAUCUCACACAUACAGUAGCAGAAUACUAAUUAACACAUGACAAGUACGAACUGAACAUAUAGCAGAUUACAGGCACUUAUAGAAUCUGAAUAUUACAAAGCUUCUUACUUCUCAAAUUACAGAAUAUUUAGAGAGAGAGAGAGAGAGAGAGAGAGAGAGAGAGAGAGAGAGAUGGCAGCAGCAAAAGGUGUAGGAGAAGAGAGGCAGCAGCAGAGGCAUGGGCAAGAAGGGGGCAGCAGCAGUUUUGGGGAGAAGAAGAAGGAGCAGCAGCAGCGUGGAGGGUUCAGCAGGGGCAGCAGCAAAGAUGUGGGAGAGAGAGAGAUCGCAGCAGGUGAAGGAAGAGGAGAGGAACAGCAGCAAGGAGCGAAGGGCGUAGAAGAAUUGCAGGUUGAAGAUGGGAGGAGCAGCAGAAGGUUGAGGAAGGCGAGGGGAAACAGCAGGGAGCAGCGGAGGUAAGGGAAGAAAGGCAGCAGAGAGAGAUGGAGAAGGAGUGGAGUCGCGCGGAGGAGGUGGUGGCGCGGUGGUGAUGGUCGUGGCUGGCGGUGCUGGAGAUGGUGAUGGAUGGCGCGGUGGUUCGAGGUGGUGAUGGGGCGCUGGCAGCGGCGGGUGGUGGAGAUGGAGUGGAUGAUGGAGUGGUGGCUGGAUGGAUGGCGCACCGCCACGCCGGCCUGGCCGCGGCGGCGGCCGGAGGGUGGAGAAGGGGAUCGGGAGAGAGAGAUGGAGAUAUGCCAGGCCCGAAGAGAUCGAAGGGAGCUGCUAGGGAUUUUGUUCCCCAUCUGAUCUGCCACUUUUGCACAUUAG